AUGGAUCGCGCCGAGCUCACCACCGAGCAGGUUCUCAAGCGGGACAUUCCAUGGGAGACAUAUAUGUCAACUAAGCUGAUCACUUCGACAUGCCUUCAGCUUUUAAGGCGUUAUGAUCACAAACCAGAAAGUCAGAGAGGUCCGUUGCUUGAUGAGGAUGGGCCAUCGUAUGUUCGUGUUUUUUUGAAUAUUUUGCGAAGCAUCUCCAAGGAAGAGACUGUGGAAUAUGUGCUUGCCCUCAUUGAUGAGAUGCUUGCAGCGAAUCCUAAACGAGCAGCACUGUUCUACGACAACUCUCUCUCUGGUGAAGACAUUUACGAUCCUUUCCUAAGGUUGCUCUUGAAAGGUAACUGGUUCGUACAGGAGAAGAGCUGUAAGAUAUUAACUCACUUAAUAAGUGCGAGACCUAAGCUUCAGAACGGCAUGGUUCCAAAUGGAGAGGCUUCAAAUUCAAAGAGCAAGCUUACAUCAAUUCAUGAUGUGUUAAAGGGCUUAGUUGAUUGGCUCUGUUCUCAGCUCAGGAGCCCCACCCAUCCGAACUGUUCUAUUCCUACUGCUACCCAUUGUCUUGCCACUUUGCUGAGGGAGACAUAUGUUCGAACCUUAUUUGUUCAGGCAGAUGGUGUAAAACUGCUCAUUCCUUUGAUAUCUCCAGCCUCAACACAACAGUCAAUUCAGCUCCUCUACGAAACUUGCCUUUGUAUCUGGCUUUUAUCCUUCUAUGAUGCAGCCGUUGAUUAUUUGUCCACUACAAGGGUUAUGCCAAGACUUGUAGAUGUUGUCAAAGGCUCUACUAAAGAGAAGGUUGUCAGAGUUGUUGUCAUGUCCUUCCGCAAUUUGUUGGCAAAGGGUGCAUUUGCGGCCCAAAUGAUUGAUCUUGGGUUGCCGCAUAUAGUACAGAAUUUGAAAGCUCAAGCAUGGAGUGAUGAGGAUUUGUUAGAUGCAUUGAAUCAACUGGAAGUGGGUCUCAAAGAGAACCUAAAGAGGUUGAGCUCAUUUGAUAAGUACAAACAGCAAGUGCUUCUUGGCCAUCUUGAUUGGUCUCCAAUGCACAAAGACCCAAAUUUCUGGCGAGAAAAUAUCACCAACUUUGAGGAAAAUGAUUUCCAGAUCCUACGUGUCCUUAUGACAGUCAUCGACACAUCAACCGACACCACUGCUCUUGCGGUUGCCUGCUAUGACCUCUCACAGUUCCUUCAGUACCACCCUUCUGGCCGCUUAGUGGUGGCAGACCUCAAGGCGAAGGACCGAGUCAUGAAACUCAUGAACCACGACAAUGCCGAAGUUAGGAAGAACUCCCUGCUCUGCGUGCAGAGGCUCUUCCUUGGUGCCAAGUAUGCUAGCUUCCUGCAGGUUUAA
rnacentral:rRNA from 1 species